rnacentral:rRNA from 1 species
UUCACGAAACCGCGUAUGGCUCAUUAUAACAGCUAUAAUUUACUUGAUUUUGACAUAAAUCCUACAUGGAUAACUGUGGUAAUUCUGGAGCUAAUACAUGCAUAAAAGUUGAAACUUAUGGUUUCAAUGCGUAUAUUAGUUGAAAACCAAGCAUCUUCGGAUGUUUUGUGUUGAAACUGAAUAUAUCUGCUGAUCGUAUGGUCUUGUACCGACGACAUGUCAUUCAAGUGUCUGAUCUAUCAACUUUCUAUAUAAGUAUAUAGUACUUAUAUGGUUUUGACGGAUAACGGAGUAUUAGGGUACGACUCCGGAGAAAAUGCCUGAGAAACGGCGUUUACAUCCAAGGAAGGCAGCAGGCGCGAAAAUUACCCACUCUCAGUUCGAGGAGGUAGUGACGAGAAAUGACAAGAUCUAUUCCUUCGGGGAUGGAUCAUUGGAAUGGUUUGAUUUUAAAACCAUUAAAGAGUAUCAAUGAGAGGGCAAGUCUGGUGCCAGCAGCCGCGGUAAUUCCAGCUCUCAUACUGCAUUGAAUUGUUGUUGCGGUUAAAAAGCUCGUAGUUGGAUCUGUACACGAUAGGGUGGUUCGUCCUUUGGAUGGUAACUACUACUAAGUGUUUUUUAUAAGAUUUUGU